ACGACAAAUCGAUUAGCCAAGCUAACUUCCAGCCAUGGCACUGUCUCCGGCUACGACCUUCCACGACCACGACGAAAGCUCCAGCUCUGACUUUCCUGGCCCAUCACAAUCAUAACGACCUAACAGCCCAGUAGGACCGAUGGCCAGAGAUGGAGGAGGAGGAAGAUAGACGCAGCAGAGGUCGGGGGUAUUGAUUAGGAAGACUCCAACAGAAUUGACGCCCUGCUAACUGCCUUGAUUCAAUCAUUGAAUUUGAAGCAAUCCCAUCGGUUACUGCAGCGUGCCCUGACCCGUGACCCCAGUUUGAUGUUCGACCUGGCACAUGACAUCUGGUCCUCAGUCACAGCCCAGUAGCACAACCAACCUGGCGCCUCUGCGCAAUCUGUAAGGAGAUGCCCAUGAACAUUGAAAGGAAAUGCUGUGGUGUUCUCAGUUUUGAUGGAAGACUUUGGGCUGAUGUAGGACCAGGUGAGAGAAACGGUCUCUUCAGGCAUGCAGCCUACAGACAGUAUGGGGCACUUGAACAGGGUUGACGUUGUAAUACACAGUACAAUACCCAGGAUUAGCCAGGGUUACCCUGCUCCACUAGAGCAAUAUAAAAGGUUUAUACAGAGUACGGUAUAAAACACACAAACCGGCAGUGUGCAGAGUUUUAUUAUUUUUCAUUAUCUGUAGGAGCAUUCAUCUGUACAUUUAUACAUCUCACCUUGGUUUGGAACCA